rnacentral:rRNA from 1 species
AGCUUGCUCCCGGAUGUUAGCGGCGGACGGGUGAGUAACACGUGGGUAACCUGCCUGUAAGACUGGGAUAACUCCGGGAAACCGGAGCUAAUACCGGAUAGUUCCUUGAACCGCAUGGUUCAAGGAUGAAAGACGGUUUCGGCUGUCACUUACAGAUGGACCCGCGGCGCAUUAGCUAGUUGGUGGGGUAAUGGCUCACCAAGGCGACGAUGCGUAGCCGACCUGAGAGGGUGAUCGGCCACACUGGGACUGAGACACGGCCCAGACUCCUACGGGAGGCAGCAGUAGGGAAUCUUCCGCAAUGGACGAAAGUCUGACGGAGCAACGCCGCGUGAGUGAUGAAGGUUUUCGGAUCGUAAAGCUCUGUUGUUAGGGAAGAACAAGUGCGAGAGUAACUGCUCGCACCUUGACGGUACCUAACCAGAAAGCCACGGCUAACUACGUGCCAGCAGCCGCGGUAAUACGUAGGUGGCAAGCGUUGUCCGGAAUUAUUGGGCGUAAAGGGCUCGCAGGCGGUUUCUUAAGUCUGAUGUGAAAGCCCCCGGCUCAACCGGGGAGGGUCAUUGGAAACUGGGAAACUUGAGUGCAGAAGAGGAGAGUGGAAUUCCACGUGUAGCGGUGAAAUGCGUAGAGAUGUGGAGGAACACCAGUGGCGAAGGCGACUCUCUGGUCUGUAACUGACGCUGAGGAGCGAAAGCGUGGGGAGCGAACAGGAUUAGAUACCCUGGUAGUCCACGCCGUAAACGAUGAGUGCUAAGUGUUAGGGGGUUUCCGCCCCUUAGUGCUGCAGCUAACGCAUUAAGCACUCCGCCUGGGGAGUACGGUCGCAAGACUGAAACUCAAAGGAAUUGACGGGGGCCCGCACAAGCGGUGGAGCAUGUGGUUUAAUUCGAAGCAACGCGAAGAACCUUACCAGGUCUUGACAUCCUCUGACAACCCUAGAGAUAGGGCUUUCCCUUCGGGGACAGAGUGACAGGUGGUGCAUGGUUGUCGUCAGCUCGUGUCGUGAGAUGUUGGGUUAAGUCCCGCAACGAGCGCAACCCUUGAUCUUAGUUGCCAGCAUUUAGUUGGG